GCAAUCAAAUCUCUUUAGGCCUUCCCAGAAUUGUGAUUCAUAUUGUCUGAUUCUCAAAAUCCAGACAAAUCCAACAGAAACACUCCUUUAGGUGGAAGAGCAAACAGAAAUGCAGUGUUAUGGAGAGCCUGAAAGCCACUAUUCCCUUGCAGAAGGUGUUUCUGCUGCUUCCUUCUAGAGCUUAUCUAGUAAUUGCCUACAAAGUGUGAACAUGUCUGCACUGAACACCUGGAAUGGAAAGACAUCAUUGGAAAGACCUUUAUUAACUGGUUCCUAAGAUCCACUAUUCAGUUUCACAGGCUUGAAAUACACUGAUUCUCAUGUGUCCUGAAUGACUUCAGAAAAGGAUAUGUUGUAUGGACAAGAGUGGGCUGGGAGCUUCAGUUCAUCAGUCCUCAGAGAUGCCAAGCAGCCACAUCUUCCACUGACUGAGGAGGUGUUGGAGAGAACUGAACAUCUCCUGGGAGAGCCUGGAGAAUCAAAUCAGAGCAAAAAUACAGCAGAGUCAGCAUAGAUACACAACCAUACCUACAUAUAUAUGCACAUUUACACACCCAUAUCAGCCAAUUAGUCUGAUAAACUAGCUAACAUUCUGUCAGAAUUGCUUUUGUUAUGAGUAUAAAAUAGCUACAUAAAUCAGCCAUUUCCCUUCAUUGCAACCCCAGUCAUUGCCAGAGAACAUAUUCCCUUAAGCGCAGUAGAAGCUAAGAGCAGCCAGCACUUUCCCUGACCCCUGUUUCCAGGAUUGCUUUCCAGCGAGUUCUUGCUAUAAGAAGCUCUGUUUUUCCAUCCCAGAUGAAGGUGACUAGGCUUAUCUUACCAUCUGUUUUCUUCUAGUCUCUGGUGCAACAGCUUUCAAGAGGUACAAGGAGGCUUCUGAGACCACGUUCCUUGGCUUUGGCCAUGGUUUGCCAUGUGGCCAAUUGCCUUGGGAAACAGCUUCUAGAAACUCCCAUUCUCUCGCUACAAAGGGCUUUAAUUGUCUUCUGCUCAGUCAUAAUUGUGCCUUGCACAUGUGGCAGUUUGACUAUAGUCUCCAGUUGUAUGCCGAUUAGAUUCUCUUUAGAUGGGAACAGCCUGUGCACAAGCUCCAAAAAAUCGUUAAAAUAUACGCUAAAAGACUUUACAGGAUAGAAUUUUUACAGACACAGGGCCUGGCCUGGCCUGACUCUCCUUCAAGUUGAUGCAAAGAAACCUACUACCCUCAUGUGAUCUCAUUUUUGUUAAAUAAUAAGUAGAAGGAGCAAGAAAUUCAUAGACAUGUUCAAGCUGGUUCAGUAAAGAUAUUUAGAACCUAUACAGAGAAUUUUCUUCUAGGUAUCAUAAAAAGGGACCUUAGAAAUGUUUCUGUUCAGUUACAUUUAAAUAUACCAUGAUGGGAUGCCUUCUAAAGUAAUUGUUUCCUGCAUGCUGUUUGCAAGCUAAGCAUCAAGAGACAAGUUAUAAGUAGCAAUAAACAAACAAACAAACAAAUAAACAAAUAAAAGGUUAGGUUAGGAAGCCCAGCAGUCUCUCAGACCAUAUCACCUGUGCAGAAAGACAGUGGCCACAGCUUAAUUGUUGCUUGAGCACCUAAUGGAGAUGAGCACCAAAAAGAUAUUCACAGCUUUUUCUCAGUAAUCCUUUUGAAAAGAAGAAUAAAAGAGGAACAGUGGUUGUUAAAAGGGAAACCAGAAAACACUGUAGGAUCAGCUCUUGAAUAAAUAUGGUCUGGAUUUCAUUAAACUCCACACACCUCUGCAAAAGCUUCCCCUAGUAACUAAGGGAAGAACAUGCUCCCCAUUACUUUUCCUACUAGAAUAAUUACAGUAUGUUAAGGCACAGCAAGGCAGGUCACAGCAAAGCCUGUUUGGAGUUUGCAUUUCAACUGCAUAUUAUGCACUUGCAUUGUAAUAUAUUCAUACUGACAGCAUCGUUAGGGUGAAUUAAUCUAAAUUAUGUCUAGACGCAUAUUUUCAACAACAAGCAUCAUAGACUGCUUGGUGGCUGACUGCUCAGAGGAAUUAACCAUGGAAAUCUCAGGCAUAAACCUUACAAAUAAACGACUAAAACGAUAAGCAGAAGAAUAAAUUAGUUUAGGCCAUGAUUCAGGAACAAUACCAAAACCUUCUCCAUAUAAUUUUAUUAGUUUAUGUGUUCGUUUACCAGUUUACCAACUUUAAUUGCGAUCACCUCUGCUGGAGAGACAUAACCCAACCGUAAUGCUGUCACAGUCUCAGAAGCCAGCACGAGGGUGCAAGGAAGUCACAGCAAGUCAUUGGAAGCAUUGACUUCUACUUAUGUGCAGUUAAAGUGCCCAGAUAUACCCACACUUUGAAAGAUUUUCAUGAAUAUCCUAUGGCUAUUUUAAGUCAGGUGUGUCAGGAAACUUAGCUAUCAUUUCAACAUUAGUAAAGGUAAAGUCAUACAUUAGCAUUGUUCCACCACUAUUGGUAAUGCGGGAAGAAGGAGGCUUGCAGUUCCUGCUGUUAUUUAUUGUUUGUAAGAGCAAAGGUUUUAGGAGCAACACUGAUUACUUUUAGCAAUUCCCACCUAAGAUAAUCAUUUUAUUACCCAGCUGCAAUGAAUCCACAACACUGCCAGUGCAGCAUGUAAUUAAUUGUAAUUUUAUAGACCACGUAUACACACUACUUCACCCUAAACUCACUGUGGGGUAGAAGCUUGCAAAGGCAGGGCGAUAGACAACAUAUGAGAGGUUUGGAAUUUUGUCAUCACUGGAGCUGUGGCUCUCAGGAGAGCUCUUGGGGCAGCCAGGCAUGCAGGGGACACCCAACCCGGAGGAUGUGUGGCCGAGGAAUCCCCAUGUCACCAGAAAAGACCAUGCUGCUGUGUCACGAUGGCAUUCCCCAGCAGCGGCAUGAGGACAGCGUGUUCCCAGCUCCUGGGAAAAUUAAAUGCUUUCUUCCCUAGCAUGGGGUUUGUUACAGCCUGUUUGGUUUUAAGAUCUUGAUCUGUCUGCAGUAAUGCAACCCUCGUGCGUGCUGUUCGGGAGGACUGGGGAGGGAGGGAGGAAAGGAGGCUGAGCACAAGCAGGGCGCGCUUAGAUGCUGGACAAGAGAAAUGUGAGACCUGACACUGCUUUGGCACCGGAGCUCUCCAUGCUGGAGAGCGCUGGUAAUUUUUAUGCUUGAGGAGACCCACAACAGUAAAUUCAAUAACUCGACAUGCCUAAUUUCUCUGUGGGGAAGCAGGAAGCAUUAGCAUGGGCACAGCCUUCCGUAACACGUCCAAACAGCUUCCAGCCUGGAGAAGGCUUUCACUCGGCUGAGUCAGAGUGCAGGCAGAGUUACCGUCUGUGCAGAUGUGCCUGUAGAUAAAGCAGGUGGGACCAGCGCAGCACUAGUAUUGUACAUGUCUUAUAGAAAUGGGGCUGAGGUAAGAGAGAUGGCAGCACAGAAAGGUCAAAUUCACUUCUUAAGAUUGCUCAAGAGGCCUGAGCCAAACCUUCCUGCAUCCUGGGUAAGUAAAUGCAAGUGCCUUCCUGAGGAAUGGCCUGGACUUGCUCCCUGAAGGCAAAGGUUUACCUGCAGAAGCACUAUUGCUCUUACCUUUAAUAAAUGUUUAGUGAAAUGCUCUGUCAAAAGUUGUUUAGAAAGCAGAAAUGGAGAAGUGAGCUUACCUCUGUGUAUGGCAUUAGUUAACCACUGCUAGAAGCUGGCAUGCAUUUCUGGUCCUCACUCCCAAAGGGAGGCUGAGGAAAUACUACAGACGUUUCAAAGGGGAGCCAGAAAGCUCUCCUGUGGGCUGCCAAGCAAACCAUAGUGGCAGAGACAAAAGGACUGUAAUUUAUUCACUUAAAAAAAAAAAAGGCAAAAAAAAAAAAAAGCCCAAGGUGAUUUACAUAUUUUGUACAAGUGAUAGCAUACAGGAUGGAUGUCUGGGAGUAGAGAGCUUUUAAACUUCUACUGAUAAAGGCAUGACAAGAUCCAAUCGCUGAUAAAUGUCCUUCAGUGGGAGAAACUCCAAAUCACAGGCUGCAAUCAGUCCUGAGGAGCUCACAUGAUUGCCUUUGGGCUAUGAAAGAAUUCCUUCUUUCUCCCUUCUAUAUAUAUUUUGAUUACUUCCCCUACCCACCUAGCACUUUCUGAAGUAUUAGACAUUGGCCACCAGCUGGAAACAGGGCAGUGGUGGCAUCAAACCACUGAUGGAAGUCAGUACGUAGUAUUGGUGUUCUGCUUUGUAUAUCUUCCCCUCAAGCUCAGGGUCAUGCCAACAGACAGAUUUGAGGUUGGAAAAGCAUUUUAUUCUAGGAUAGAUUGUUAAUAAACUUGACGGGUAUUAACUUUAUCUUCAGCAAAAGGUGCAGGUUGCAGUCUGGAAUUCCUUUGUCCCAGGGCCUUCAGGGUGCAGACACUUCUCUCUUCUUUGCACCCGGUGCACGGCUUUUUCUCCCAAGAAUAGAAACAUUUAGUAUAACUGUAGUCUUUGGGACAUGCAGGAAUUCAAAGGAUUCUCUCGGACCAAUAAAAGGACAUCACUACCCGAGUUAAACAUUUUUAAAAAAGUCCCAGAAAGUCCAUCCCAGCCACUGCUCUGUCCUAGUACUGCCUGAACUCCUCAUGGAAGUCCCCCAGACUGGCAGCGACAAGCAGCUUGAAGCUUGCCUCAUUUCUCUUCCACAUCAGGAUCAGUAAAAUGAAACUUUUUCUGUUUGUCUCCCUUUAACAACCUAAUGUAGCAGGUUUUCUUGGAAGCUCCCAAACUGAGCAUACUAGAUUCAAAAUGCAAUGGCAGCAGCUUUUAAAACAUAGCUAGCGAAAAAGAAGGUCUUUAUGUACCUGGCAAAGGGAGAAAAUGCCUAAAUGAGUUAUGGUCUGUUUACACAGGUUUAUUCACCCUUUCUUUGCUUGGGGGAAUUUAAACCCCACAUUUUCAGGGACAAAUCCUUGUUUUUGACAUUCCCUUAAGCACUCUAGAUACAAAGGCUUUUUACAAACAGAUAAACACAAACAGCAGUCAUGAAGUCGCCAUCUUUUGAAGAAAAAUGCAAUGUCCAUUGAAUGUAUUGGAAGGAAGAGUAUACUGAUAUGUUCUUUCUAAUGUAAAUUAAGGCCUGGGAAUACUGAGUGAAAGUACUGAGAUACCUGCCUGCAAGGAGAAGUGGAAUACUGGAGUUUUAGCCCAAUUCUUAUCAGUUUCCCAUCAGCUUGGCUACCCUUCUCUUUUAUCCUCUCUGUGGCAUACAAUGCUCCUCUGCACUGUAUGAGGAGCCUAACCAGAACCAACAGUGCAUCAGGAGACUGAAAGAAAACAACAGCAGCAACAACAACAACAACAAAAAGAGCUUCUGUAUGUUAGUCCUUUGGUGGACCCGAAAUUUCUACCUGAAUAAGAGAGAAACAACAAGCCAAAGAAGAAAACUAAAAGUAUAUUCGGUAUAUGGUUACUUUCGUAAAGUGCCCGUGAGAAACACAUGGGCUUUUUAUGAAACCUUUUGUCACAAAUGAAGUUAUUCUAUGAGCAGCAAGAAAAGAAAAAAAAAUCUUUGGUGUGAAACAAGAAUUUUUGGCAUGGUUCUUUCAUUCACUUUUUAAGCAUUCUGUUUAAUGGAAACACACCUAAGUGAGCAGUCUGUAUAUGUAGCCCUGUUUCCCCUUAGCUUUUGAACUUACUUGUUGAUUUGAAUCAAAUUUGACAUAAGAAUAAAACACUGCUUGAACAC